rnacentral:rRNA from 1 species
CAGCCGCCGCGGUAAUGCGUAGGUGGCAAGCGUUGUCCGGAAUUAUUGGGCGUAAAGGGCUCGCAGGCGGUUUCUUAAGUCUGAUGUGAAUGCCCCCGGCUCAACCGGGGAGGGUCAUUGGAAACUGGGAAACUUGAGUGCAGAAGAGGAGAGUGGAAUUCCACGUGUAGCGGUGAAAUGCGUAGAGAUGUGGAGGAACACCAGUGGCGAAGGCGACUCUCUGGUCUGUAACUGACGCUGAGGAGCGAAAGCGUGGGGAGCGAACAGGAUUAGAUACCCGCGUAGUCCCUGUCUCUUAUAC